AUUGAACGCUGGCGGCAUGCCUUACACAUGCAAGUCGAACGGCAGCAUGGAGAGCUUGCUCUCUGAUGGCGAGUGGUGAACGGGUGAGUAAUGCAUCGGAACGUACCGUGUAAUGGGGGAUAACGUAGCGAAAGUUACGCUAAUACCGCAUACGACCUGAGGGGGAAAGCAGGGGAUCGCAAGACCUUGCGUUAUACGAGCGGCCGAUGUCAGAUUAGCUAGUUGGUGAGGUAAAGGCUCACCAAGGCGACGAUCUGUAGCGGGUCUGAGAGGAUGAUCCGCCACACUGGGACUGAGACACGGCCCAGACUCCUACGGGAGGCAGCAGUGGGGAAUUUUGGACAAUGGGGGCAACCCUGAUCCAGCCAUGCCGCGUGAGUGAAGAAGGCCUUCGGGUUGUAAAGCUCUUUCGGCCGGGAAGAAAUCGCACAGGCUAAUACUCUGUGUGGAUGACGGUACCGGCAUAAGAAGCACCGGCUAACUACGUGCCAGCAGCCGCAGUAA
rnacentral:rRNA from 1 species